ensembl:lncRNA
GAGGCUAUAUACAGGGUGUUACGGUACAGAGUCAGUGUGGAGGCUAUAUACAGGGUGUUACGGUACAGAGUCAAUGUGGAGGCUAUAUACAGGGUGUUACGGUACAGAGUCAAUGUGAAGGCUAUAUACGGGGUGCUACGGUACAGAGUCAAUGUGGAGGCUAUAUACAGGGUGUUACGGUACAGAGUCAAUGUGGAGGCUAUAUACAGGAGGUACCGGUACAGAGUCAAUGUGGAGGCUAUAUACAGGGGGGUACCGGUACAGAGUCAAUGUGGAGGCUAUAUACAGGGUGUUACGGUACAGAGUCAAUGUGGAGGCUAUAUACAGGGUGUUACGGUACAGAGUCAAUGUGGAGGCAAUAUACAGGGUGUUACGGUACAGAGUCAAUGUGGAGGCUAUAUACAGGGUGUUACGGUACAGAGUCAAUGUGAAGGCUAUAUACAGGGUGUACCGGUACAGAGUCAAUGUGGAGGCUGUAUACAGGGUGUUACGGUACAGAGUCAAUGUGGAGGCAAUAUACAGGGUGUUACGGUACAGAGUCAAUGUGGAGGCUAUAUACAGGGUGUUACGGUACAGAGUCAAUGUGAAGGCUAUAUACGGGGUGCUACGGUACAGAGUCAAUGUGGAGG